GGGGCACUGAGACACCAGGGACACUGGCUGGGAGACAUGGGGACACUGUGUCCCCAUGUGUCUGUCAUAAUGUCUCCCAAUGUCCCUUAGUGUCUCAGUGUAUGUCUCCUUGCAGCCUUUCCCCCAUCCCUUACUUCCUUGAGCUGUAGGCUGUCUCUGCAGGGUGGGAGUUGCUGUCUGGACUCUCUGUAGCUGCACCCCUGCAGAUCAGUGAGUAUAGAUAGGCAGGGAGGGAUAUGCUGGAACUUCCUAUCCCUGCCUGUCUCCACACACAGUGACCC